AAAAACAUGUCUUUUUGUUCAUAAUUUAAAGUCUAACCUGCUCACUGAUAAUUAUUAAAGAGCCGCAGUAUUUUGACUGUGCAAAGGUAGCAUAAUCAUUUGUCUCUUAAUUAGAGGCUGGAAUGAAUGGUUGCAUGAAAUAUUGACUGUCUCAUUUUUAAAAAUAUAAAAAUUUAGUUUUUUAGUUAAAAAGCUAAAAUAAAAUUUAAAGACGAGAAGACCCUAUAGAUCUUUAUAAUAUUAAGUUUAUUAUAAAAUUGAAAAUUAUUUAAUAGUAUAUUUAAUAUUAUUUUAUUGGGGUGAUAAAAAAAUUAAUAAAACUUUUUUUUUAAUUUAACAUUGAUUUAUGAUAAAUUGAUCCAUUUUUUAUGAUUAUAAGAUUAAGUUACCUUAGGGAUAACAGCGUAAUUUUUUUGAAGAGUUCUUAUCGAUAAAAAAGAUUGCGACCUCGAUGUUGAAUUAAAGGUUAUUUUUAAAUGUAGAAGUUUAAAGUUUAGGUCUGUUCGACCUUUGAAUCUUUACAUGAUCUGA
rnacentral:rRNA from 1 species